GGGCCCGUAGCUCAGCCUGGCCAGAGCGGCGGGCUCUUAACCCGUAGGUCGUGGGUUCGAAUCCCACCGGGCCCGCCA
rnacentral:tRNA from 4 species